GUCCAGGUAGCCUAGUGGACAUGGCAUCUGCCCGGUAAGCGGAACAAUGUGGGUUCGAUUCCCAUCCCUGGACA
rnacentral:tRNA from 1 species